GAAUAUUGCCCAAUGGGCGAAAGCCUGAUGCAGCAACGCCGCGUGUGCGAUGAAGGCCUUCGGGUUGUAAACCACUUUUCUGAGGGAAGAGGAAGGACGGUACCUCAGGAAUAAGUCUCGGCUAACUACGUGCCAGCAGCCGCGGUAACACGUAGGAGGCAAGCGUUAUCCGGAUUUACUGGGCGUAAAGCGCGUGCAGGCGGUUUGGCAAGUCGGAUGUGAAAGCUCCUGGCUCAACUAGGAGAGGUCGUUCGAAACUGCCAGACUAGAGGACGGUAGAGGGAGGUGGAAUUCCCGGUGUAGUGGUGAAAUGCGUAUAUAUCGGGAGGAACACCAGUGGCGAAGGCGGUCUCCUGGGCCGGUCCUGACGCUAAGACGCGAAAGCAUGGGUAGCAAACGGGAUUAGAUACCCCGGUAGUCCAUGCCGUAUACGAUGCGAACUUGGUGUUGGUGGUAUAAACGCUAUCAGUGCCGUAGCUAACGCGAUAAGUUCGCCGCCUGGGGACUACGACCGCAAGGUUA
rnacentral:rRNA from 1 species